UUUAUCAGUGAGAAAUACACUGACUGUGUGAUUACACACGCGCUUAGAGAAUCCUGCACCGUGUUCCACGGGGCCCUGGGUCUGAAGGAACCGGAUUGAGCCGGCGGGGCUCGCUCCGAGCCCGGAGCGCUGCGCGGCCGCCACACGAGGGACCGCUAAUGGUCAGCGCUGCCCCCGGCAGCCGCUCCCCGCCUGCCUCCCUCAGGAGAGAGCGCUUCCUCGUGUCAGGCGAAACUUUAGUUUAUGGCCACUGUCGCUGGGCACUGCUGAAGAGUUCUUACAGGGGCCAUCGAAGGGAAGCAGGUAGUCCCCAUAUACAGAGGAAAUAUUCAGUGUAAAUGUAUUCACGUUACAGAUGGAAGCAAGAAAAAGAGUAUUUGUACAAUGGCAAAAAAUAAAGAAAGUGUUUUGGCAAAGAUUAACAAGCUUCACUUGCUCAUGAAUACUCUGCUUGAAAUUUGCCUCUCAGCAAUUUUUGAUCAUCAGUCCUGUAGAAGGCAAACCCCUUAAUUUGAUUAAACUUAUGACUGGUGAGCAGAUGCAUAUUUUAAAUAAUUACUUCUUUAAUCAAGAAGCAGAACGUUUAAAGAGAAGAGCUGAACAAGUAGAAUGCACCAAAACCCAUGAAGAAAUAGCUAAAACAUCACUAGUGGGCAGUGUUAAUCCUUGCUGUGUUUGUUCUCUGCUGCAUCAGAAAGUCUCCAAACUGGAGAAAGGUGGAUGCUGUCCUGCCACCCCAGGAGGAAACCUCACCACCAGGACCUGCUCCUCAGGAGGCUCCAUUGGAACGGGAUUGAAACAGUGAAACGCCUUUCUGUUAAAGCAAGUGAGGAACGCCAGGAGAAGACACCAUCGUCAGAAGUAGAGAGACUGCUAGCCUCAAAACGUGUUCCAGCCGUCUUUCCCCUUCUAGCUUCUUUUUCCUCUACUUUUCCUUCCUUUCCCUCCCUCCCUCCCCCUCCAAUUCUGUCAGGCCUAAAAAUGUGUAAAACUAUUUGACAAAAGGAUUUAAAGUUUUACCCUAAGAGCUUUGAGGCUUUUAACUUUCAAGCAGAUUUAAGACUUCAAUACUGAUACUUUAAACGUAAGAUUUAGAUGCUAAAAAAACAAAAAUGUCUAAAGUAAUAUUAAACCACUCAAUAUGGCACCUUUUUUACUUCUUGCUGAUAAUAUACUAAGAAAAUUGAGUCAGUGAAUCAGUGCACACAUUAUAUUCCUACCCCUUCCUUUGUAACAGUAUUUGCCUGCUUGGUUUAAAUGAAGCUUUGGGAAUUUAGCAUUUCUGACAGCAGCACAAGCUUUGUUAGAAAGUUUCACUUUCGCAAGUUUUUGAAGAGAAAUUGAAAAGGUUUUUUUUACUGCUGCUGGAGCAGUAUGACACAGUUUGGGUAUCACUGGCAUUGCUACUUGCUGACAUUUACUACAGCAGUUUAAUUUCAUUAAGGCACCUGCAGUUUUACUCAUCUGUGCAAUGUAAACCUGUUUUAAAACUAAGUAACUAAGUACCUGCCCAGCUUUUGGACAUUUUUGGCUAAAUUUUUGGGGAAGGAUUAAAAAGAACACACACACACACUUUCUUUUAGAAAUUCAGUUAAGAUAGUAGUGAUCCCAGAUAAAUAAAUACCCUCUAAAUAGGAAAUUCUUCAGCCCUUCUUUUGAUAGCACAAGGUGAUGCUAAGUUGUUGCUACCAGUGUGUCUGGAGGGUUUUCUACCUUGGGCAAACCUGACUGGACAGAUGGAAACCAAAGGUCAACAAGACACUAAAAAUUAUGAAAAUCCAUGAAUGUCAGGUGGUGUGGGGCAGUGCUGUUAGUCUGGAAACUGUACAGACAGCAGCAGUUCAGCUUCCAGAUUCAAAUGAACAUUUACAGAUUGAAAUGAAGUUAAGUUAGUAUGAAUAUAAAGUAGUGUGGGUAGGCUUAUUUUUGUUGGUGCAGUAACAACUGGUUUAGUCUCAGUGCCUAGACUUUCAGGCAAUAGCCCGUCUGCCUCCAGGUAUGCACAUCUUGCCAAGGAUCCUUCUCUGUGCAGUGCUUCCUGAAGGGUUCAAGGACCCUGCUCAGAAUCUCCAAACUAAAAGAGGCUCAUGACAGAAUCCAAGGGGGAUUGGACUGUCAUGGACCCUUACAGAAACUGAUACAGAUCCAAAUGUUCUUUCUUGUACAGAUAUCACCUGUGUCUGUUCCAUUAGAGCCUUAGUAGUAAUUCUGCUUCAGUCCAGAAGAAAACAGGCAAAUAAAGGCUUUGCCACUUCCAGUGCCUUGCUGUUUAUCACAGGUUGUCAUCCCCAAAGGACAUUUCAUUGAUUUCAUUCAAUGGAAAGAUCUAUUUGGAUGUUAUAGACCACUUGGUGAUAAUACAAUCUAUAACUGCUUUAAAAACUCUUUAGGAUAGUCAGAGUACCUUACCAAGUAGUCUGCUACUGCUGGUAAGUACUAGACAGUUACUAGCAGUGAGUUUCAUGUCAAAGCAUUAUUUGCACUGCAGACAGUAUUAACUUCAUGUUUCUUACUUUUUACAGUCUGUUCUGUUACUCCAUUAACUCUGUAAGCUUGAUUCUACAGCCUUGAAAAUGAAGUCUUCUUUUUAAAACUACUUUACUUCCACAUUUCAUUUUCUUUCAUCUUAUUAUUUCAGGGGGAUUAUUGCACAUAUAAAAGAAGUGAAAAAUAUAAUAAAUUUUUCAAUUUCAUUAUUUUAUUUCAAUGAUUUUAGGAUUGUUAGCUGUCUUUAGUGUUUGGAAAGGCAGUGGCUCAUCUUACUCCUGUCUUUAGGAAUUACAGGAAGAAUUCUUUUCUUUGGUCUCUUUAGCUAAAUGGCACAAACUCCCACAAUGCUCAGGAUAAGAACAGGUCAAGCAGUCCCUCCAUUAUUUUGAACACAUUAAGACUCACAUAAAAUUAAUUGUUGAUGUAGCUGGGGUAAAAAACUAGCCAAUGUCUAAGCAGCACAGAUUCUAUCACCUAUGAUACUUUUUUAAGAUACAGUAUAGCAAAGUAAUGCCCAUCUCUUGUCCUGAACAGAAUACAUAAAUAAAAACAAACUUCUUUUUAAAAGUAUCUUGACAUAAAUAUUGCAGAUUGUUUUUCCAAGAUUGUUUCCUGUACUGUAGAUGAUUACUUGCUGGGUGAAAAACAAAGGUACAUUCGUGGCUACUAGUGAAUAUUUUAAUAUUUUGGACUUUUCCCUUUUAUUCAUUAUGAUUAGCAGGGAGAAGUUUUACGGGGUUUGGGAAAUUAUUUCUGUGGAGUUUGGGGAGUGUUUUGAAUGGAUCUGUGCAAACCCAAGUGUGCUGUUAGCACCUCAGUGCUAAUCCAAAGCUUGGACCAGAGCAGAUACAGAAGCCACUGACCUGUUUCUCACAUUAUUGCUCAUAUGGUCAAGGCACUCAACCUCAUCUUAAAAUAUAUGACUGUUUCUGCAAAUGAUGGAAAAUAAACCCUUACAAGUAGUAACUCCUCAGCAUCAGUGGAUCUUGCAUUACUCAAGACUUUCUUUUGACACCAUACAUUUAAAAUUCAAUACACUAAUAUUUUCUCUGCUUACCCUAAAAGGUCUUCAACAAAGGACAAAAAAAUCAGCUUGUGGUUCUACUACAGGCAGGAAGAAUUUAAUUUUACCUGUUCACGCAAAUACUCAACUCUUUCUCAUCCAACAUUGUGUAAAUAUAUCCCAAGCUUAAAGACAAGGUCAGAUUGCUAAAUGUAUUGAGUUUGCUAUUACAGUACAAGAAUUCGUUUUAACUUUAUUUUCAUGUACAUUAUCAGAAUAUAUAGAGUAUAGAAAACGAUAUAUUUUAAAGGCAUAUAAGGUAGAAAAAAACCCCUAAAAUAGUUUGCCCUGUUCAAACCCUAGUUCAGACUGAUUUGGUAUUUGUUCACUUGCAGUGCAGAACGUUCCCAUCUGUUCUGUGUGGCACCAUGCACGUGCUGGUGUUUGUACACGAGUGCAGGUGUUGUGCAUCAGUGUCUGGUGUGUGUGUGCUUUUCACUUUAUUAAAGGGACAGAGCUUUUACUGUGGAAUUAAACUGUGUUCAUGUCUAGCUACAUCUUCAUUUUAAGUAUUUGCUCCGCAAAUGACCUGAGCAUUAUCAAAGCAGGAAACUGAAGCAUCUCUGCAAGUCAGUCACAUAAAAGCUUAACUCUGAAUUUUUCAGGACUGUCCUCUAGAUAUCAGAGCUUUAAUUUGCUUAAAAAUUUCCCUUAUUUUUUCAUGUUUUAAUAAAUGUAGCAAAAUGCCUAGCUAA